rnacentral:lncRNA from 1 species
UUGUCUCGGAUUCUGGUACCGAGUGUGCUGACAGGAUGCUGCUCGCAAAGGUGGUUGCUUCGGUGCGCAUACCCUGCCGAUGUUAGGCACUACGUAGAGAAGCGGUGCAGUGGCAUAUAUUCGACAAGGAAGCACAGCAUGCCUGG